rnacentral:rRNA from 1 species
UACAGAGACCUCAAGCGUUAUCCGGAAUCAUUGGGCGUAAAGCGUACCGAUAGGUGGUUAUACAAGUCAGAAGUGAAAUCUCCGAGCUCAACUCGGAAUCUGUCUUUUGAAACUGUAUGACUAGAGGGAAGAAGAGACUGGAACGAACGGUGUAGUAGUAAAAUGCGUUGAUAUCGUUCGGAACACCAAUAGCGUAGGCAGGCUUCUGGGUGCCACCUGACACUGCUAGGACGAAAGCGUGGGGAGCGAAUGGG